CCCUUAGAUGUCCUGGGCCGCACGCGCGCUACACUGAAGGAAUCAGCGUGGCUUUCUCCCUGACCCGAAAGGGUUGGGAAACCCGUUGAAUCUCCUUCGUGAUAGGGAUUGGGGCUUGAAAUUGUUCCCCAUGAACGAGGAAUUCCCAGUAAGCGCGGGUCAUCAUCCCGCGCUGAAUACGUCCCUGCCCUUUGUACACACCGCCCGUCGCUCCUACCGAUUGAGUGGUCCGGUGAGGCUUUGGGAUCUGAGCGGAAAGAGCGUUUCGCUGUUUCUGCUCGGAAAACUCAGUCGAACCUUAUCAUUUAGAGGAAGGAGAAGUCGUAACA
rnacentral:rRNA from 1 species